GAGUCGUAAGUGUUAUGAUAGCACCUCGGUUUCCAAAACCGAUAGCCGGGGUUUGACUCCCUGACGACUCGCCA
rnacentral:tRNA from 1 species